rnacentral:rRNA from 1 species
GAUGAACGCUGGCGGCGUGCCUAAUACAUGCAAGUCGGGCGAACGGACGAGAAGCUUGCUUUUCUGAUGUUAGCGGCGGACGGGUGAGUAACACGUGGAUAACCUACCUAUAAGACUGGGAUAACUUCGGGAAACCGGAGCUAAUACCGGAUAAUAUUUUGAACCGCAUGGUUCAAAAGUGAAAGACGGUCUUGCUGUCACUUAUAGAUGGAUCCGCGCUGCAUUAGCUAGUUGGUAAGGUAACGGCUUACCAAGGCAACGAUGCAUAGCCGACCUGAGAGGGUGAUCGGCCACACUGGAACUGAGACACGGUCCAGACUCCUACGGGAGGCAGCAGUAGGGAAUCUUCCGCAAUGGGCGAAAGCCUGACGGAGCAACGCCGCGUGAGUGAUGAAGGUCUUCGGAUCGUAAAACUCUGUUAUUAGGGAAGAACAUAUGUGUAAGUAACUGUGCACAUCUUGACGGUACCUAAUCAGAAAGCCACGGCUAACUACGU